UACGAGUGCUUCGAGCGUUAUCCGGAAUCAUUGGGCGUAAAGGGUGUGUAGGCGGUUAUGUUAGUCUUGUGUAAAAUUCUCCGGCUCAACCGGAGGCUCGCACAGGAAACGGCAUGACUUAGAGGACGGAAGGGGUCACUGGAACUCAUGGUGUAGCGGUGAAAUGCGUUGAUAUCAUGGGGAACACCAAAAGCGAAGGCAAGUGACUGGUCCGCUCCUGACGCUGAAACACGAAAGCGUGGGUCGCGAAUGGG
rnacentral:rRNA from 1 species